GACGAACGCUGGCGGCGUGCUUAACACAUGCAAGUCGAACGGUAAGGCCCUUUCGGGGGUACACGAGUGGCGCACGGGUGAGUAACACGUGGGUGAUCUGCCCUGCACUUUGGGAUAAGCCUGGGAAACUGGGUCUAAUACCGGAUAGGACUACGCGAUGCAUGUCGUGUGGUGGAAAGCUUUUGCGGUUUGGGAUGGGCCCGCGGCCUAUCAGCUUGUUGGUGGGGUGAUGGCCUACCAAGGCGACGACGGGUAGCCGGCCUGAGAGGGUGUCCGGCCACACUGGGACUGAGAUACGGCCCAGACUCCUACGGGAGGCAGCAGUGGGGAAUAUUGCACAAUGGGCGCAAGCCUGAUGCAGCGACGCCGCGUGGGGGAUGACGGCCUUCGGGUUGUAAACCCCUUUCAGCACAGACGAAGCGUAAGUGACGGUAUGUGCAGAAGAAGCACCGGCCAACUACGUG
rnacentral:rRNA from 1 species